rnacentral:rRNA from 1 species
GACGAACGCUGGCGGCGUGCUUAACACAUGCAAGUCGAACGGAAAGGCCCCUUUGGGGGUACUCGAGUGGCGAACGGGUGAGUAACACGUGCGUAACCUGCCCUUGACUUCGGGAUAACUUCCGGAAACUGGGGCUAAUACCGGCUAGGAAUCCUUGCUGCCUGGUGGGGGUUGGAAAGCUUCGGCGGGUUUGGAUGGACUCGCGGCUUAUCAGCUUGGUGGUGGGGUAGUGGCUUACCAAGGCUUUGACGGGUAGCCGGCCUGAGAGGGCGACCGGCCACAUUGGGACUGGGAAACGGGCCAGACUCCUACGGGAGGCAGCAGGGGGGAAUAUUGCACAAUGGGCGGAAGCCUGAUGCAGCAACGGCGCGGGCGGGAUGACGGCCUUCCGGUUGGAAACCGCUUUCAGCAGGGGCGGAGCUGGGAGUGACGGUACCUGCAGAAGAAGCACCGGCUAACUACGUG